GGAGGAGCCAAAUCCAUAGAUUGUAGCAAUGCCAAAUUCAUAAAAAUAAAUAAAUAAAAAUUCAAUGAUGUAACGAAACUCCAAAGGAGAUAAAUAGGCUUUUAACUAAGCACUUAAGGACCAAAAACAAGAAAAGCAGAAGGUUAAACACACACAACAAAGGCUGCUUGGAAAGAUUCUUGUUCGAAGAGGCGUUAGGCUGGAUCUUCCUUGAACAUAAAGCCACACCUUCCACUUGAACCUUCAAUGUAAAUCACAAGCUUCAGUAAAAUUUUCAAAGGUGUAAUGUGGCAAAAUUAUUCUAACACGAGGCAUUACCUGCAUUCAAUGAUUUGUUCUUCCUCUGCGUCUUUGAUCUUGUCUUCUCAAUCUCUUGUAUCGUUUUCCUUCAAUCAGCCUUAAAAACCAUUGUGGCUUCCUUGUUGCAAAAACAAUGUACCCCAUGGACAAACCAAAAACCACCCCACAUCCAUAGCCCAUCAAUGCAAUUUUCCAAUCAAACCAGCUUGUAGAAUCUUGUUCUUCGUCAAGUCCUUGUGGAGGAAAUUGGGGUGGCUCACCAUUGUUGCAUUUCUGUGAUAAUGGAAAUCCACACAAUCCCAAGUUUCCUACAUAGGAAUCAUUUGAAAAUGUACCAAACUGGUUGCCUUGAGGGAUGGGUCCCUUGAGCUGGUUGUAAGAAACAUUAAACACAGCAAGAAAUGUCAAAACUGUUAGUUGCUGAGGAAUUUCUCCAACAAGCCGGUUAGAGGAGAGGUCUAACGAUUCAAUCGCUGUCAAAUUUCCAAAUGAAGAUGGAAUAUAACCAAUCAGAUCAUUGUGAGAAAAGUUGAGCACCACAAGGGACUUUAACAUGCCAACAUCUUGCAGAAUUUCUCCUUCAAAUUGAUUGUUUGAAAAAUCAAUAGUUGUGAAGAUGGUCAGGAUUUUCCCCAUUUCAAUCUCCAAUCCUUUCAUUGUCAAAUCAACAACCAAAGAAUCUUGAAUGUAAUAGUAACUCUCUCCAACAUAUUUUGCUUCAGUUUUAUCCACAUUCACCAAAGAUUUCAGAUUUUGCAGAUAUUUUGUUGGUAAGGGUCCUGUGAACUCAUUGUGGGAGAGAUCAAGAAUUUGUAAAUUAGGGAAAGAAAAAUUAGUCUUGGUGGAUUGCCCUAUGGUACCAUGGAAGCUAUUACGCCUUAAGAUAAGUACACGCAACUCUUGAAGAGCUUCUAACCAGUGAGGGAAGGUGUCAUUUAUUUUGUUGUUCCCUACAUCUAGGACUUCCAACUCUGUGCAAUAAACUAGAGAUGGUGGUAAAGGCUCUUUCAAUUGGUUACCGUUAAGGUUAAGAUACUUCAAUCUAUUGUCCUUUGCAAAAUUUCCUGGGAUGCUACCAUGAAGGUUGUUAUUGCGUAGAUCCAAAACUAAGAGAAAAUUGCUAGAGUUUCCAAGACAUUGUGGAAUCACUCCACCCAAGCUAUUGUCAGACAAAUCAAGAAAUGCAAGAGAACUCAGAUUGCAAAACAGUGAAGGAAUCUCCCCACUCAACUUGUUGUUUGAAACAAUUAAAACCUCAAUGGAGGGUGGUGGUGUUGGAAAUGGUCCUUGGAGCAAAUUGAAACGUAAGUUGAGGGUGCCAAUAUUAUUCCAUGGAUGCUGCUCUACAUUUGUGAGGAAAUUGUAAGAGAGAUCAAGAAAAAGCAAACUUUGCCAUCCUUCAGAUUCAGAUUCUUGUUUGGAAAUUUGUCCGUAAAUUCUAUUGUUCGAAAGAUCUAAAGUUUGCAAAUUCUCAAGUGUUCUUAGGAAACUUGGGAAUUCACGCAAGUCACAUGAAGAAAGAUUCAAAUCCAUAAGUUUGGGUAAGGUAAAGUUGGCAAUGCCGCUACUUAUGAAUGAUAGUUUUCUAUUAUGUGAAAGAUCAAGUUCCCGAAGAUUUUCAAGAUGUCGAAACAUGUUCCAAUCAACAAUGCCACUCAAAUUGUUGGAUGAAAGAUCAAGCUUGGUAAGGUUUGGAAGUUGAAAAAUAGAACUCUGAAUUUGCCCAUGUAUCUCAUUAUUCUGCAGCAGAACAUACUGCAGUGAAUUAGGCUGUUGGAACUGUUCCAAGGGACCAGUGAGUUUGUUAUUGCUAACGUCUAAAUCAAACAAAGAUGGAAGGGUAAAAAACCAAGAGGGUAUUUUGCCACUGAGCAUGUUAUUAGAUAUGUCCAGAUCAUACAGAUCUGCAAGGCCAGACACUCUGAAAGGUAAGGAACCAACAAAUUGAUUGAAUGAAAGGUCCAAAGUUUUAAGUUUUGUAAGGUCAAAUAUUGAAAAUGGCAAAGGACCACCGAUAUUAUUCAUGCCAAUAUUUACAUUAGCUAACAUGCUAAGGUUGCCAAGGGAGAAGGGCAAGCGACCACUGAAAUUAUUGGACAUAAGGUACAGAGAAGUUAAUUUGUUGAGCUUGCCAAAUGACAAUGGCAACUGACCACUGAAAUGAUUGAAUCCAAGAUCUGAAAACUCUAAGCUGCUAAGGUUACCAAAACUAUCUGGAAUCUCAGCUGCAAAAUUGUUAAAACCGAAAUCUAAGAAUUUGAGGUGCUGAAGGUUGCCAAGAGAUGCUGGAAGUGAACCAAAGAGAUUGUUGUAUGAGAGAUCUAAAUACUCUAAGAACUUAAAAUUACCCAGGGAAUCAGGUAGUUCUCCUGAGAAAUUGACAAGUUUGAGAUUAAUAAACCUUAGUGGAUGGGUGGAAUUGGAGUUUGGGAACUUACCUGUGACUUUCUCGUUUGCUGAUAAAUCAAGCAUCAUCAGGGAUGGAAAGCAGGAAAAAUCAUCAGGCAAUUGCACUUGCAUGAAACAAUUCCUAAGUUGAAGAGAUGUCAAGGAAGAAGAAAGGUUCAACAUGGAAUUAGGUGCAACUACAGACAUAUUCACCCCUGUUAAAUCUAAAACUCUCAAUUCAGUGAGGUUGGAAAGCUUUUGAAAACUGUCAAAUUGAAGUACAUUUCCAGAGAGAUCAAGGGAAACCAAUUUGGAAAGACGACAGAUAUCAAAGGGAAUAUUGCCAGAAAAUUCAGAUUUAGAGAGGUUAAGAUGUGUCAGUUUCGCAAACAAGCCAAACUCCGACGGGAUUGGAGAGUCAUAGAAAUUGUUGUUAGCAAGGUUGAGCUUCUGGAGGUGAGAGAGGAGGAAAAGGCUGCUGUUGGAAGGGAAGGUACCAUAAAGCUGACUGCAACUAAGGUCGAGGCCGAUUACAUGACCUGUCCACCUAUCGCAGGUGAUGCCAUCCCAUGAGCAGCAAUCUGUAGCAUUGUUCCAGGCAUUUGUCUUUGGGUAAGCAUCUCCAUAACAAGACGAGGAGGAAAGUGCAGGACUGCCAAUGGAUAAAGCGUUCUUGAACUGGAGCAGUGCAAAACUCUCUUCUGGUGGGCAAACUUUUGCUAAAUUUGGAGCAAAAGAAGAUAAAGAUGAUGAACAGUCAACUUGGAAAUGCAAGAAAGGCAAGAAGAAGCAAAGGACGUACCGCCGG
rnacentral:misc_RNA from 1 species